GUUCUUUUUGUAAGAUGGUUUUGUAACACCUUUUGUAAACUCUGCAGGUGAUUGGCAUUUCAUCUGCUUUCUUUUCCCACUGUCACGAGCAGCUUCUCAGCCUUGUCUGGUUACCAGGAGUUCCCUUCCGGAUAUCUGCACUGGACCCCGGACCGCGACGUACGCGAACACCAAGCACGAACUCGAUUGCCUUUUGUUUAGUGUUUAUGGAAUUUAGAUAUUGUUGUAACUUUUUUGGACACCAUGUUUUGUAGGGUUUAACUAAAACUUGUGGCCAUCUAGGCAACGGCCUAGCUCCUUGUAAAUGUCUAGGUAAACUUUUUUACUUAUCUAACAUUUUUUUAGAAUCAUUAUAUGGCAACAAAUUUAUCUCCAACGUAGUUGUUCGUGGGGUUGUAGUUGUAAAUUUAUCAGAACCUUUUUUUUUCUAUCAUUAUAUGAAGAAUAGUUAUAUUUUUUAUAUUUAUAAUUGAAUAAAUUAUAAUCAUUUUGUUUGUUGGACACCCAAACUUGAAAAGGCAGUGAUGUAACAUCUUUUUUUGUUGUUUUUAUAUAUGUAAAGUCAUUUUUUUCUGUAGACUCCUCAAAAGUAUAUAUAGUAAGGUUUGGAUUAUUAAGUACUGUUGUUGUAGCAUUAUAGCUCUUAACUAAAGGUUUGUCUCCAAGUUUUUUAUAAUAAUACACAAAAUGUGGCUUAUAAGACCACAUAUUUAUAAUCCCAGGUACCAGAUGACAUCGGAGGGGGUUAGUUUUAUAUUUAUUAGAAUAUUUUUUAUCUGCACUAGAUCUAAACAUUGGGCUAUAUACCCCAACUGUAUUGAUGUCCCAAAAAUGGUCACACCCCUUAGGUGUGGAGUAUUUGUUAUAAUGGUGGCAAAAUGUAUAAUUAUGAUAGAACAAGUAUUUAAUAGCAGUAAAAUUUUGUAGGAAUUUGUUACUUUUCCAAUAUUGUGGUAUUAUUGUACAAGAAUUAUUACAUUUUUGAAGUGAAUGAGUGAAAUUAAUAUAAUUGAAGAUCUAAUCUUUGUAAGAAUGUUUGGUCAGGUUAAUGUUUUUGAUACCAAAAUAAUAUGGAGUUGUAGUAGUAAAAGUAGUGGGAGUUGUAGUUUGAUUUUUCAUUACUGAAUAGAACUGUAGGGCUAUCAAAAGUAGUAAAAAUAGUAAAAGUAACAAAGUUUUAGGUGUCAUUACCAGAAACAUAGUGUAUAAUUAAGUACAUAACAGGGUAGCAAAUCCCGUACCAACAAUUUAUGAUCCACGUUAAUAAAACAAGUAGAACCAUUUAAAAGA
rnacentral:lncRNA from 1 species